UAAAAAUUUAAGAAAUGAAUGCUUUUAAACUUUUAAAGAAAAUUAAGAAUACAAUUGACUUGAUUACUUGAUGAAAGAGUCGAGCAGUAAUAAUUUUAUCACAAAUGAUAACAUUCUCCUUUUACACUUGUAGAGCAAUGGCAAUAAAAAAUACCAAUGCUAUGAAAGUUUUACUAACCCAAUACCGAGUGAGAAACUUAGUCUGAAAGUUAAAGAGAUCACCAGAAGAGAGCUCAAACUUGAGCAGUUAUUUAAAAUAACAAUGCACAUUUCUAAUAAUUUUCCUAUUUUUUAGCCUAAACUUGUACAACAUGACCCAGAAGCACUACACAUUUCUGAGGAUUUAAUCCCAAAAUCAUUUAGAGUGGAGAA
rnacentral:misc_RNA from 1 species